rnacentral:tRNA from 1 species
ACCCUUGUGGCCUAAUGGAUAAUGGAUAAGGCAUCGGUCUCCUAAACCGGGGAUUGUGGGUUCGAGUCCCACCAGGGGUA